AUUGAACGCUGGCGGCAUGCUUUACACAUGCAAGUCGAACGGAUCUAGGGGCUUGCUCCUAGGUUAGUGGCGAACGGGUGAGUAAUGCAUCGGAACGUACCGUGUAGUGGGGGAUAACCUGGCGAAAGUCAGAUUAAUACCGCAUACGAUCUACGGAUGAAAGCGGGGGACCUUCGGGCCUCGCGCUAUACGAGCGGCCGAUGUCGGAUUAGCUAGUUGGUGAGGUAAAGGCUCACCAAGGCGACGAUCCGUAGCGGGUCUGAGAGGAUGAUCCGCCACACUGGGACUGAGACACGGCCCAGACUCCUACGGGAGGCAGCAGUGGGGAAUUUUGGACAAUGGACGCAAGUCUGAUCCAGCCAUGCCGCGUGAGUGAAGAAGGCCUUCGGGUUGUAAAGCUCUUUUGUCAGGGAGCAAAUCCUGCCUGCUAAUACUAGGUGGGGAUGAGAGUACCUGAAGAAUAAGCACCGGCUAACUACGUGCCAGCAGCAGCCGCGGUAA
rnacentral:rRNA from 1 species